UUAGAAAAUGUUUUGGGUCAAUUUUUUCGCGCCAAAAUCAUUUCUAUAAAUAAAACAGAAUAGGAAAUAUUUGUAUCUAUUCCUAAACCUAUUCUAAACCUAUCCCUAUCUGCCGCUCAGCACAGCACGCAGCAGCAGCAUUCUGGCCCAAGGCCACGAAUCCACAGCGCAGUAGCAGAGUGGCCUGAGGCCCAAGACAGCAAAGGCCCAGCAGCGGACCGCAUUGCCCCCUCUCCCUUUCUUUUUCUUUUAGGUCACUGACAGGAGGAGCCCACUCGUCAGCCACACACCGCCACCAACCCACUGACGCCCCUGUCCCGCAGUUGUCUUCCACCUCCGUUCGGUCUCCUGUUCACGCAUGCCUCACAUCGUAUCUCUCACAUCUGUCUCGCCCGAUUCACACCAAUCCUUCCAUGAUUUCGGCCUGUCUCGCACCCCAUCGCGAUGCACUCGAUCUCCUCUGUCUAUUCCCUCUACUGGCCCCUCCACCCGUGCCCUAGCUCGAGGGAACCGAGCUCGAGGAGAUCCGCCACCGCGCCCGACGCCGAAGCACACCAGAAGGAGAGCAUCAACCUCAACUCGAAGCAGCAGCCUUCAACCAUGACUUGAGCCGCUCGCCGCCGUUACUACAGGACACGCCGAAGCACCACUAGGACGCCCUCGGAUCCACCGCUUGCCACUGCACCUUCCUUUGCACUUCUUCGAGUCAUAACACAAUCAGGAGCAUCGUCACGCUUGAAACUGAAGCCGUCGUCGUCGAUGGCAACCAAAAUCCCCUCCGCCCGAACAGAAGACCGCUGCCCGAGCCUCCUACCACGGCCAAGUCUGGCAACAUUAGCCACACCCCUACCCCUCUGUGUCACACCUGCUCCCACCUAAGCAGUGGACCCUCAGGGAGAAAGGGUCUAGUGUGAGUUUGGGCUGAGCCCAGUGGGCCGUAUGUGGCCAGGGUGCGUGUGUGCAAUGGGUGCGUGUCUGUAUUAAACACCUGGAUUGCGUGAGACAGAGUAGCGAGAGAAACGCUCAGUUAUCUGAAUCU